rnacentral:rRNA from 1 species
UACGGAGGGUGCAAGCGUUGUUCGGAUUUACUGGGCGUAAAGCGCGCGCAGGUGGAUGGACAAGUCGGAAGUGAAAUCUUGAGGCUCAACCUCGAGGCUGCUCCCGAAGCUGUUCGUCUAGGGACUGGUAGAGGCUGGUAGAAUUCCCGGUGUAGCGGUGGAAUGCGUAGAGAUCGGGAAGAAUACCCGUGGCGAAGGCGGCCAGCUGGGCCAGGUCCGACACUGAGGCGCGAAAGCGUGGGGAGCGAACAGG